GUGGGCGUAGUACAAUGGUAGUAUAUUUGCUUGCCAUGCAAAUGACGCGGGUUCGAUCCCCGUCGCCCGCU
rnacentral:tRNA from 1 species